GGCCCUUCCAGUAGGCCAGGCUGCUCAAAAUCUCAUUCAACCUGGCCUUGAACACUUCUACAGAAUGGUUAAACCAGAACAAAGAGAAGAAUAAAGGGAAAUAACAUAUCCAAACCACCAUAUUUUGGGCAGGGCAACCUUGUGUCUCUCCAUUUGACACCACCAGUAAGAAAGAAGGUAAGGCCUUGUCAUCAUAAUCCCUUCAGGCCCUCUUCAGUACAGGGAAGGACCUGAUGGAGAUGAACAGACUUGCCCAAGAUGUUGUCUGAAGAAUGCCACAUGUCAUGUAAUGAGUGCAGGUUCUGUGAUUGUCAUGCUUUUAUUGAUCUGAUGUGAAUUUGCUGGAAAUUAGGAUGAAUUAAUCUAAACAGAAAUUGAUUUUAAAGAACAUACCCAUUGCACUUAUUAAAUUGCAGCAGUCGAAUAGUUGCUUGUUUUCAGUCAAUAUUAAGUGCUUUUCUUAAUGAUGAACCUGGAAAAC